CCAAAAAAUUUCGUUUUCCCUCUAUUUUCCUUAACCUAUGUUUUGAACCCUAAACUACACCUCCAAACAAAAUCAGCCGCAUACACCUUGUCUCUUCUGCUAGCGAUAGAUAUCUCCUCGGUUGUUCUGCUCAAUUCCUUCGUUAUCUCAAUUUCUUGGGUUUCAAGAUGACAAGAUCUGGUCAGCCUCACAGAGGACAGUUCGAUUUCUGCCGGAUUCAAACCCUAUCUAAUGUUCGUCACUUUGUAUUGAUAGGGUUUGGAUGAAAUUGUUGAACUGUUUGUCUGACAAAUAAUCUUAAUCAAGAUUAUUAGAUAGAUUGAAGGUAAACAGGUGAGGUCUUGAUGGUGGCCGUGGAUACGGGCGAGGUCGUGGUGGUGGUGGGUUCAAUUGAGGCUCAUAACUUCACAAGGGUGUUUCUCUGUUUUGCCCCUCUUCUUCAAUUGAACGAUGAUUUCUUCACAUCCUAUGAAACAAUUGAACGAUGAUUUCUUCAUAUCCUCCGAAACGAUUUACUCUCUUCAUCUAUGAUUUCUUCGUAUCUUAUAAACAAUGAAUGGAUUGUGAUAAAAAAAACGUUAUAUUUUGCCGCUCAAAUAUUGUUCGUCGAUUGUCUCGUCCCACUCUGCUUUGGAAACGGAGAACUUCGGUUCUCUAGUAAGCCUUCUUUUGUCGUUGUUAUCCUUCUUUUGAUUAUUUUUUGGUUGGAUUGUUUAGUGUUAUUAGGUUUCCCUAAAUUCUUUGGUAGUUGAACACAUUAGGGUUCAGUGUGUGAUUUAAUUGAACCAUUGUGCUAGCAAAUUAAAACAAUUUUCCACGCGUGAAUAUUGAUGUCUGCUUGAAUAUUGAAUUUCAAAGAAUUGCAAUUGAUUAAUAUUGUAACUUUGGCUCUUUGUGCAUGCUUGUAUUUUGUUUGUUGUAUAUCUUGCAACUAACCAAAUAUUAGUUCUGCCAAACAAGGAUUAGAAACUUAUCUUUGAAUUUAGUUAUAAUUUUCACAUAUUCUGUUUCUUUUUUUUUUUCUUGCAAUCGUCUUUUUUUCUUCAACUUCCAAAUCCACAUUCAAUCUGUUACCUGAUCAUAUAUUGAGAAUGAUGGUAAGUUUAGUUUUCUGAUAUAAUAUUACAAUAAACCAUUUAAUUAUUAAGUAGCUAUCUGAUAUGAACAUUACAAUAAACUGUUCGUCUUUUCGACUAAACACGAGGUUAUGUUAUUAAUUUAGUUCCCUUCUCCACUUUGAAUUGGAUGUUCAUGUUCAUAAAUCUAAUCAUGUUGGCUGUAAAUUCUUUCUUAUUUCAAAAGUAUGGGAGCCAAAACAUUUGAAAUUACCAUCACUAAUGGCCUAAUGGGUCUGCAAGAAUUUCAGUGAAUCUAUAUGUCAUAGUAGUAGAUGUUCCAUACAUGUUAAACGUAUAUGGUGUAUAUGUUUUGUUUAUAUCAGACCUAAUUUGACAUUAGGGGUGGACAUAAGAUGACAAAGUGUACUAAAUACAUCACUUUCUGGGAUUUGAAAACGACAUGCUCGAGCCCCCCGAACCUGUUUGGCAAGCUUAUCGACAUGAAAUGUAUAAGCAUAUGGUAAUGUAUAAGCAUAUAUGAUUGUAGGUUUUUGUAAUAAUUGUAUCUAUAUUAUUAUUUUUAUAUCUUGUUAACUUUGAUCAUGAAGAUGUGGCUUGUUAAGUGCACAAUAAUGCAGCAAACAAGACAAAGUAAUCAUUCAUUCCAUUCCCAUAGGGUAACCGAACAUGUCAAUGGAAUGGUAAUGAUCCAUUUCAUUCCCUUGCCCAUUCCAUUACCUCGCUCAUUCCAUUCUCUCGUCCAUUCCAUUGCCACUUGACAGUUUCAUCUUUUUUCAAUCUCAUUAUUCUCUAAUAGAUAAUUAUAUAUUUUUCAGGUUACUGCAAAUAGUUGGGGGGGGUGGGAUUUUUAUUUUGUUUUUACUUGUUUGUGCCAUUAUAGCAGCUGGUUACGUACAUAAAAAAGUAAACUGAACUUGUGUUUAUCAUUUCUUUGCCAUUCAUUUGUAUCUAAUAAUUCUAUUAGUAAUUUAAUCAUAUAUGAUGAUGUAUUAAUUACCAUAUUUUCUUAUACAGGGGCUCGAGGACCCAAAUAGGAGUAGAUACAAGCUUCCUUUGAGUUCUUCUCUAAUUAUAACUUCGGCACCCCUAUCUCUCAAUUAAAUACAUGUUUAUUAAGAGCUGCAUUGAUGUUUUGCAGUUCAUCUUUUUGAGUGUAGUUUCUUUCUUUCUCUAGCUCUGUGCUAAAAUAUACAGAUAUACUAGAAGGACACAACUGGACUUGCUAUGAUGUAUAAUCUGUUUGCUACUCUUAUUUGACUAAUUUUUAUGGAUGAUAAUGCAUACAGGAUCUGCUUACUACAUAUUCAAAGAAGACACACCUCCUUGCAUAUUUGGCUUAGUUGAGAAGCAUAGAUGGUUGUAUGCAUCUGCCCAAUAAUUGAUAGAGAGGCUAAUAUACGCCGAGGGUGUAGUGAACGGUCUUGUGUUCAAGAUAGCAAGACCUUUUAAUUGGAUUGGCUCAAGGAUGGAUUUCAAUCCAGGAAUCGAUGGUCCCAGUGAGGAUGUAUCAAGGGUUCUGGCAGCAAUGAUACACUUACUAUAGCAAUUCUUCCCAGCAUCUCAUGGAUGCAAAUUAUAGUCCUAAAGCAGAGAGUAUAUGGAUUUGAAGAAAACCACCUAGAAAUAGUUCCUAGUAUGUGUAGUCAUUUUCGUUUGCAACUUUUGUAGAUAGGUUUCGGUUAGAAAUGUGCGUCUAUAGUAUUUCAAUUGUAAACUUACAUAUGGAUUUUUGGUAAAUAUCAUUUGGUUUUAAAUUUUCUAAA